rnacentral:rRNA from 1 species
CAGUUCGGAUCGCAGUCUGCAACUCGACUGCGUGAAGGCGGAGUCGCUAGUAAUCGCGGAUCAGCAACGCCGCGGUGAAUGCGUUCCCGGGCCUUGUACACACCGCCCGUCAAGUCAUGAAAGUGGGUAGCACCCGAAGCCGGUGGCCCGACCCUCGUGGGGGGGGAGCCGUCUAAGGUGAGACUCGUGAUUGGGACUAAGUCGUAACAAGGUAGC